rnacentral:rRNA from 1 species
GACGAACGCUGGCGGCGUGCUUAACACAUGCAAGUCGAACGGUAAGGCCCUUCGGGGUACACGAGUGGCGAACGGGUGAGUAACACGUGGGUGAUCUGCCCUGCACUUCGGGAUAAGCCUGGGAAACUGGGUCUAAUACCGGAUAGGACCACUGCCUGCAUGGGUGGUGGCGGAAAGCUUUUGCGGUGUGGGAUGGGCCUGCGGCCUAUCAGCUUGUUGGUGGGGUGAUGGCCUACCAAGGCGACGACGGGUAGCCGGCCUGAGAGGGUGACCGGCCACACUGGGACUGAGAUACGGCCCAGACUCCUACGGGAGGCAGCAGUGGGGAAUAUUGCACAAUGGGCGCAAGCCUGAUGCAGCGACGCCGCGUGAGGGAUGACGGCCUUCGGGUUGUAAACCUCUUUCAGCACCGACGAAGCGCAAGUGACGGUAGGCGCAGAAGAAGGACCGGCCAACUACGUGCCAGCCGCCGCCGUAAGAC